ACCCUUCCAUUGCUAAGCCAACGCCCUUAUAUUGAAGGCGUUCCGCAAGGAACUAUGGCGAUAAAUGCGCGUGCAAUAACCAGACCGGACCCGGGUGCGAAUCCCGGCGGCUCCACCAUCACCUCCCCGCUCGUUGGGCUUAUGGGGACGCAUGGGGCCGAGUUAGGAUCGACGGAUGGCUAAAGACGUGGCGUUCGCCCGCAUGGGCUCCGUCAUCAGCCCAUUGUUAAAGUUGCCAACGACAACUUUGCUGAAGAGGUGCGUCUCGCUGCGUAAGCGGCGCGAUCACUUCGCACUUUAAGUCCUCGGCUCUAGCAAGCCGCAGGCGGGGUUCGGGGGCACCUGGCAACAGAAGCCCCCACU
rnacentral:tmRNA from 1 species